rnacentral:rRNA from 1 species
CCUACGGGAGGCAGCAGUAGGGAAUUUUCGUCAAUGGGCGCAAGCCUGAACGAGCGAUGCCGCGUGAAUGAAGAAGGCCUUCGGGUCGUUAAGCUCUGUUGCGGGGGAAAAAAGGCAGCAUCAGGAAAUGGGUGCUGACUGAUGGUGCCCCGACAGAAAGUCACGGCUAACUACGUGCCAGCAGCCGCGGUAAUACGUAGGUGGCGAGCGUUAUCCGGAAUGAUUGGGCGUAAAGGGUGCGCAGGCGGUCCUGCAAGUCUGGAGUGAAACGGAUGAGCUCAACUCAUGCAUGGCAUUGGAAACUGGAGGACUGGAGAGCAGGAGAGGGCGGUGGAACUUCAUGUGUAGCGGGAAAAUGCGUAGAUAUAUGGAAGAACACCAGUGGCGAAGGCGGCCGCCUGGCCUGUUGCUGACGCUGAGGCUCGAAAGUGUGGGUAUCAAACAGGAUUAGAUACCCCUGUAGUC